GUGCACCAAUCGAGAAUCCUUCGCAAUGCGGGAAACCGCGACGAGGGGACUCCCAGUGCCUACGCUCAGCGUAGGCUGUUCCCGAGCCUAGAAAGCUCGGGGAGUAAGGGCUGGGUAAGACGGGUGCCAGCCGCCGCGGUAAUACCCGCAGCCCGAGUGGUGGCCACUAUUAUUGGGCCUAGAGCGUCCGUAGCCGGCCCGGUAAAUGCCUGGGUAAAUCGUGAGGCCUAACCUCACGAAUUCCGGGUAGACUGCCGGGCUAGGGACCGGAGGAGGGAGAGGGGUACUCCAGGGGUAGGGGUGAAAUCCUGUAAUCCCUGGAGGACCACCGGUGGCGAAGGCGCUCUCCUAGGACGGGUCCGACGGUGAGGGACGAAAGCCAGGGGAGCGAACCGGAUUAGAUACUCCGGUAGU
rnacentral:rRNA from 1 species